AGGGAACAGUGGCUAGGCACAGCUCAGACUGUAGGAGGCCACCACAAGAGGGAGGCAGAGUUGCCAACCAGGCUCUGAGGCUGUCUCUCUGGCUGUCACUUGAGCCCCUCUUGGUGGUGAGGUCAAGGCUCAGCAGUCAUGGGCUUCCUUUGAUCACCCCCAGCCACACAGGCCACCAUAUCAAAGAAGGCUUUUUGUUCAAAGAAAGAUCACUACUUAGGUGAAGACCAGAAGGUAAGUAAUAAGCUGGGGAGUCUGAAAUUGAGAGGCUUAAGAAGUUAAUAUGACCUGAAGGGACCUGAGCUGGGGGCCCAAUGGGAGGAGAUAUGGAAAGUUCUAGAAGCCCCCAUUUCUACCCAGAGGUAAUAGAAUAGACUCAUUUCACAGACACUGUUUAGUGACAGCCUUGAUGUUAUAAGUAUAGAAACAGAGGCCUGGGUCCCCAGUUGCAGUGGUAUAAAUGGUGAGGCUCAAACCAAAAUACCCACCUCCUGGCUUUAAAAGUGCAUUCUGCCCUUUAUUGUUAUUACCCUAGUUGGAAAAUUUUAUGACUUUAUAUUAGUGAGUUGUAGUGGAAAGAUGUUAUAGUUUAGGAGCCUGAAAAAUGCAAGUUCAAACCAUGCAGUGUCAAAAGUUAUUGGUUGAGGGAGUUUUGGAUAUGGUGAAUUCAGAGUCACACUAUUACUCAAGCAGAGCUGACCAUGCUACCUUCACAUUCAGUGGAUAGGAAAAAAUGAGGAGUAAGUGUGAGAGGAAAGACCUAGCUACAUAGGCAUCCCCUUUAAAACUGCUCAGGUGUAUGUGUGUGCAUGCAUACAUUUGGUAAGUGUGUUUAUAUGUGUUUCUGUGUGUUCCCAACACUCUUAGAGUUGUCAUGACUGUCAUAAUGCUGUUAUUCACUUUUG
rnacentral:lncRNA from 1 species